AUGCAUCAAACUAAGAUUGAUGUAAAGACACAAAGUACUGCCAUCAAGUUAGCAUUUUUAAACAUUCGCUCACUAAAAAAUAAAUCAUUUCUAAUCAAUGACUUUAUAACCACAAACAAUCUGGAUUUUAUGUUUCUAAAUGAAACAUGGCUAGAAGACAGCUGCAGUGCAACAGUCCUCAAUGAAGCAGCCCCUCCUAACUUUACUUUCAUGAGUGUCUGCAGGACUGUUAGGAGAGGUGGAGGUGUAGCUGCUCUAUUUAAAGAUGUCUAUCAAUGCAAGCAAAUGUCAUUUGGUCAGUACUUGUCUUUUAAAUAUCUAGGGUUUGUGCUGAAAGGUGCUCCACGCAUUCUGUUUAUCAUUAUUUACAGGCCUCCAAAAUACUCUCCAGCCUUUGUUGAAGAGGUCACAGAAAUGCUAUCAAUGAUUUCCUCAGAGUUUGACUGUUUUGCUAUUGCAGGGGAUUUUAAUAUUCAUAUAGAUAAUGCAGAAAACAAAAUUACAAAAGAAAUGAUAACGGUUCUAAACACUUUUGAUCUGAUUCAGCACGUGCAUGGACCCACACACAAAGGUGGACACACUCUAGAUUUAAUCAUCAGUAGGGGUCUAAACAUUUCAUCCAUUGUUAUUAAGGAUGUGGCACUAUCUGAUCACUUCUGUAUUUUCUUUGAUAUAUUGAUCUCUGCUACCACUGAAUCUAGAUCUGUCUCUGUCAGAAGGAGAUGCAUUAACGAGAACACUAGUGUGCGGUUUAUGGAGGCUAUAUCUCUAACACCAAGCAUUUCUGCAGACUCUGUUGAUAUUCUCCUUGAUUCCUUUAACUCAAAAGUUAAGAAUGUUAUUGAUGAUAUUGCUCCAAUAAUAGUCAGUAAGAAAACAAACAGACAGAAAUCAGUUUGGAGAAGAUCAACAGCAGUUCAGACUAUGACAAGACAAUGCAGAAAAGCCGAGCGGAUGUGGUGGAAGACAAAACUUGAAAUUCACUAUAGCAUCUAUAAAGACAGCCUUCAUGCUUUUAAUGUGAAACUAGCCACAGCUAGACAGAAUUUCUUCUCAAACCGUAUAAACAGUAACUUAAACAACACUCGUACUCUUUUUGCCACUGUUGAGAGACUGACAAACCCCCCCAAGUCAGAUUCCCAGUGA
ensembl:lncRNA